AAAAAACACCAAACUUUGCUGAAGAUAUCAAGUUACAGGCCAUGCAAAUCUAGCAACAUUAUAAGCAUCCUACUUAAUAAGUAGUUUAUUCCAAACACAGCCCCUACAAAUCGAAAUUAUUAAGUCCUGUUGCAAUAUAAAUUGCUUCACAUCCUUGCCUAUCAUAUAGAUCUUACAAAAUGACUCCUCAAAUAUCUAUUAAGUUUCAACAUCCAACCAAAUCUCAGUAAAACUGAAACACAUACUACCACCACAUAAUUCAUCGUACUACCACUACAUAACUCAUCGUCAUAUAUCAGUAAAACCUCCGAGGAUAGCGAUCCAUCAACCUUCCAGAAGG
rnacentral:misc_RNA from 1 species